AUUGAACGCUAGCGGCAUGCUUUACACAUGCAAGUCGACCGAGCGGCGGACGGGUGAGUAAUAUAUCGGAACGUGCCCAGUAGCGGGGGCUAACUAAUCGAAAGAGUGGCUAAUACCGCAUACCAUUGGAUUUGCCGAUAUCGGAUUAGCUAGUUGGUGGGGUAAAGGGUCACCUAGGCGACGAUCCGUAGCUGGUUUGAGAGGACGACCUGCCAAACUGGAACUGAGACACGGCCCGGACGCCUACGGGAGGCAGCAGUGGGGAAUUUUGGACAAGGGGGGUAACCCUGAUCCAGCCAUCCCGCGUGUAUGAGAAGGCCUUCGGGUUGUAAAGCACUUUUUGCAGUGAGGCGGUAUCUGCAGAAUAAGCACCGGCUAACUACGUGCCAGCAGCCGCGGUAAUUC
rnacentral:rRNA from 1 species